GGUUAAGCGACUAAGCGUACACGGUGGAUGCCCUGGCAGUCAGAGGCGAUGAAGGACGUGCUAAUCUGCGAUAAGCGUCGGUAAGGUGAUAUGAACCGUUAUAACCGGCGAUUUCCGAAUGGGGAAACCCAGUGUGAUUCGUCACACUAUCAUUAACUGAAUCCAUAGGUUAAUGAGGCGAACCGGGGGAACUGAAACAUCUAAGUACCCCGAGGAAAAGAAAUCAACCGAGAUUCCCCCAGUAGCGGCGAGCGAACGGGGAGGAGCCCAGAGCCUGAAUCAGUGUGUGUGUUAGUGGAAGCGUCUGGAAAGGCGCGCGAUACAGGGUGACAGCCCCGUACACAAAAAUGCACAUACUGUGAGCUCGAUGAGUAGGGCGGGACACGUGGUAUCCUGUCUGAAUAUGGGGGGACCAUCCUCCAAGGCUAAAUACUCCUGACUGACCGAUAGUGAACCAGUACCGUGAGGGAAAGGCGAAAAGAACCCCGGCGAGGGGAGUGAAAAAGAACCUGAAACCGUGUACGUACAAGCAGUGGGAGCCUCUUUAUGGGGUGACUGCGUACCUUUUGUAUAAUGGGUCAGCGACUUAUAUUCUGUAGCAAGGUUAACCGAAUAGGGGAGCCGAAGGGAAACCGAGUCUUAACUGGGCGUUAAGUUGCAGGGUAUAGACCCGAAACCCGGUGAUCUAGCCAUGGGCAGGUUGAAGGUUGGGUAACACUAACUGGAGGACCGAACCGACUAAUGUUGAAAAAUUAGCGGAUGACUUGUGGCUGGGGGUGAAAGGCCAAUCAAACCGGGAGAUAGCUGGUUCUCCCCGAAAGCUAUUUAGGUAGCGCCUCGUGAAUUCAUCUCCGGGGGUAGAGCACUGUUUCGGCAAGGGGGUCAUCCCGACUUACCAACCCGAUGCAAACUGCGAAUACCGGAGAAUGUUAUCACGGGAGACACACGGCGGGUGCUAACGUCCGUCGUGAAGAGGGAAACAACCCAGACCGCCAGCUAAGGUCCCAAAGUCAUGGUUAAGUGGGAAACGAUGUGGGAAGGCCCAGACAGCCAGGAUGUUGGCUUAGAAGCAGCCAUCAUUUAAAGAAAGCGUAAUAGCUCACUGGUCGAGUCGGCCUGCGCGGAAGAUGUAACGGGGCUAAACCAUGCACCGAAGCUGCGGCAGCGACACUAUGUGUUGUUGGGUAGGGGAGCGUUCUGUAAGCCUGUGAAGGUGGCCUGUGAGGGUUGCUGGAGGUAUCAGAAGUGCGAAUGCUGACAUAAGUAACGAUAAAGCGGGUGAAAAGCCCGCUCGCCGGAAGACCAAGGGUUCCUGUCCAACGUUAAUCGGGGCAGGGUGAGUCGACCCCUAAGGCGAGGCCGAAAGGCGUAGUCGAUGGGAAACAGGUUAAUAUUCCUGUACUUGGUGUUACUGCGAAGGGGGGACGGAGAAGGCUAUGUUGGCCGGGCGACGGUUGUCCCGGUUUAAGCGUGUAGGCUGGUUUUCCAGGCAAAUCCGGAAAAUCAAGGCUGAGGCGUGAUGACGAGGCACUACGGUGCUGAAGCAACAAAUGCCCUGCUUCCAGGAAAAGCCUCUAAGCAUCAGGUAACAUCAAAUCGUACCCCAAACCGACACAGGUGGUCAGGUAGAGAAUACCAAGGCGCUUGAGAGAACUCGGGUGAAGGAACUAGGCAAAAUGGUGCCGUAACUUCGGGAGAAGGCACGCUGAUAUGUAGGUGAAGUCCCUUGCGGAUGGAGCUGAAAUCAGUCGAAGAUACCAGCUGGCUGCAACUGUUUAUUAAAAACACAGCACUGUGCAAACACGAAAGUGGACGUAUACGGUGUGACGCCUGCCCGGUGCCGGAAGGUUAAUUGAUGGGGU
rnacentral:rRNA from 1 species